GUAAAUUAAAUUGGAGGAUAAUGGCUAUUUUAGGAAAGAGAGUGAUCAUCUUUAUCUCCUAUCAAUUGUGAUAAAAAGAAACAAAUAAUGAAAUUAAAAGAAAAUAAAUAAGAAAUAGGAAACUUACCUUUUCUCAUGAGUGGACCAUUAUGGAUAAAAUUAGGUUAAAUGGGGAAUGAGGUGAAGAGGAGAGCCAUUUUUCUUUGUGGUUGCCGUGUGUUGAAGAAAGGAAGAGAGAGAGAGAGAGAGCGGCGAGCUAGAGAGAGAAAGGGGAAGGGGUUGUCAUUUACUAGAGAGAAGGAGGAAAGAAAGAAGAAGAAGGAGAAGAGAAACCAAGUCUAGAGCUUGAACAAGGGGUGGUAAAGUUUGGGUGUUGAUCAAUUUGUGUUCUUGAUUAUACAAUCAAGAGAGGUAGCAAAUAGGUCGUGGUGAUGUGGGGAGUUCUAUCGUCGUGGUGUGUGUGGCGUGGGGGCAUCCUAUGGACGAAAAACGAUAAAUUAAAACGCCAUUUUUCUUUUAAUAAUGUUAUGUUUUAUGGGACUUUUUAAACUUAUCAGUAGGACUUAAACUAUUUAUUGUUUUAAAACAUUGCAUGAAAACUAAUAUUUUCUUUUUAAAACUAUUGGGCCCAACUUGCAUGUUUUUAGCAAGACCCCACUGGGAUUUUAUAUUAAGUGGCUUUUCUCUCAUAAACCUAUGAUUAUGUGAAUGUUUUACAAAGCAUUAGACUAGGCCGUUUUACAUAAGUAUGGUUGUGUCGACUCCCAUCCUUUCUCAACUUUCGAUGGAGAAACUCACUGGAGAAAUCUUCCUUAAAUGGAAGCAGACUAUCAACAUAGUGUUGAUUAAUAACAACUCCAAGUUCGUCAUGACUAAGGAAUCCCAGAAGUUCCAGCUGAAGGAUCUACCAAGUCUAUAAGAGACUAAUAUGAGCAUUGGUAGACGACUAAUAACAAGGCACGGUACUACAUGUUGACUAGUAUGGACGACACUCUCAAGACAAAGAUGGUGAAUGUCGAGACGACCUACAGAAUCAUGGAUCAACUCCAAGACACGUUCGGUGCAAAGUCUGUGCAAACUUGUUUUGAGGCCCACCAAGAAAUAUGCUAAUGCUCGGAUGGCACCGCCUCAGCACAUUCGUGAUCACCUGAUCAAGACGACCAACUAUUUUCAGGAAGCUAAAAUGCAUGGAGCAAUUAUAGAUGAGGAAACUCAAGUCGGCUUAAUCCUCAACAGUUUCUCUCCAGCUUUCCUACUGUUCACCACAAACUAUGUGAUGAAUAAACUCAACUAUGGUCUGACGCAGCACAUGAACGAGCUUCAUAAUUUUGAGUAUAUCAUGAGUGGACCAAGUAAGGGAGGAGAAAAGAAGACAACUAUUGUUACUACUGAUCCAGCUAAAGCCGAAGUAAACCAAGCUUCGUAUUCGAAAGCUAGAAACAAGAGGAAAGAUGGACAAAACAACAAUCCCAAGCCUGCAAAGGCAGCAAAGAUGAGUGCACAACCAAGUGCAUAGGCACCUAAGGGGAAGAACAAGAAAAACUAGAAAGGUAAAAGUAAGUGUUUUCACUGCAUAGAGAAAAGGCAUUGGAAACAGGAUUACCUCAAGUUUCUAUUAGCUAAAAACAAAGCUUCUUGAAUCAUGGAAGGAAGUGGAUGAAGGUGACUUAAAGCUUAGAGUUGGGAACAGAGCAUUCGUUACGGUCCAAGCUAGAGGAAGAACUCGCUUCAAGUUCGGAAAUACAUAUUUAAUUUUAAAAGAUGUAUUUUUUAUUCCGGAUUUUAGUAGAAAUUUAAUUUCACUUUCCAUGUUGCAAUUAGAACAAUUUGUUAUGACUUUCACAAGUUUUAAUAUAUCCAUUUCUUUCAAUGGAUCACAAUUGUGUAUUGCAU